rnacentral:rRNA from 1 species
UGAGGAAUAUUGGUCAAUGGGCGCAAGCCUGAACCAGCCAUCCCGCGUGAAGGAAGAAGGCGCUAUGCGUUGUAAACUUCUUUUCCAGGGGGAGAAUUUUUCCGUCGUGACGGGAAUUGACGGUACUCUGGGAAUAAGCAUCGGCUAACUCCGUGCCAGCAGCCGCGGUAAUACGGAGGAUGCGAGCGUUAUCCGGAUUUAUUGGGUUUAAAGGGUGCGUAGGCGGAUUGAUAAGUCAGUGGUGAAGGGCUGCAGCUUAACUGUAGAAUUGCCGUUGAUACUGUCAGUCUUGAGUAUGGUCAAGGCAGGCGGAAUGUGUAAUGUAGCGGUGAAAUGCUUAGAUAUUACACAGAACACCGAUUGAGAAGGCAGCUUGCUGGGGCAUCACUGACGCUCAUGCACGAAAGCGUGGGGAUCGAACAG